GAUGAACGCUGGCGGCGUGCCUAAUACAUGCAAGUCGAGCGAACGGACGAGAAGCUUGCUUCUCUGAUGUUAGCGGCGGACGGGUGAGUAACACGUGGAUAACCUACCUAUAAGACUGGGAUAACUUCGGGAAACCGGAGCUAAUACCGGAUAAUAUUUUGAACCGCAUGGUUCAAAAGUGAAAGACGGUCUUGCUGUCACUUAUAGAUGGAUCCGCGCUGCAUUAGCUAGUUGGUAAGGUAACGGCUUACCAAGGCAACGAUGCAUAGCCGACCUGAGAGGGUGAUCGGCCACACUGGAACUGAGACACGGUCCAGACUCCUACGGGAGGCAGCAGUAGGGAAUCUUCCGCAAUGGGCGAAAGCCUGACGGAGCAACGCCGCGUGAGUGAUGAANGUCUUCGGAUCGUNAAACUCUGUUAUUAGGAAAGAACAUAUGUGUAAGUAACUGUGCACAUCUUGACGGUACCUAAUCAGAAAGCCACGGCUAACUACGUGCCAGCAGCCGCGGUAAUACGUANGUGGCAAGCGUUAUCCCGAAUUNAUUGGGCGUAAGCGCGCGUAGGCGGUUUUUUAGUCUGAUGUGAAAGCCCACGGCUCAACCGUGGAGGGUCAUUGGAAACUGGAAAACUUGAGUGCAGAAGAGGAAAGUGGAAUUCCAUGUGUAGCGGUGAAAUGCGCAGAGAUAUGGAGGAACACCAGUGGCGAAGGCGACUUUCUGGUCUGUAACUGACGCUGAUGUGCGAAAGCGUGGGGAUCAAACAGGAUUAGAUACCCUGGUAGUCCACGCCGUAAACGAUGAGUGCUAAGUGUUAGGGGGUUUCCGCCCCUUAGUGCUGCAGCUAACGCAUUAAGCACUCCGCCUGGGGAGUACGACCGCAAGGUUGAAACUCAAAGGAAUUGACGGGGACCCGCACAAGCGGUGGAGCAUGUGGUUUAAUUCGAAGCAACGCGAAGAACCUUACCAAAUCUUGACAUCCUUUGACAACUCUAGAGAUAGAGCCUUCCCCUUCGGGGGACAAAGUGACAGGUGGUGCAUGGUUGUCGUCAGCUCGUGUCGUGAGAUGUUGGGUUAAGUCCCGCAGCGAGCGCAACCCUUAAGCUUAGUUGCCAUCAUUAAGUUGGGCACUCUAAGUUGACUGCCGGUGACAAACCGGAGGAAGGUGGGGAUGACGUCAAAUCAUCAUGCCCCUUAUGAUUUGGGCUACACACGUGCUACAAUGGACAAUACAAAGGGCAGCGAAACCGCGAGGUCAAGCAAAUCCCAUAAAGUUGUUCUCAGUUCGGAUUGUAGUCUGCAACUCGACUACAUGAAGCUGGAAUCGCUAGUAAUCGUAGAUCAGCAUGCUACGGUGAAUACGUUCCCGGGUCU
rnacentral:rRNA from 1 species